CUCUUCCUGAUUUUGAUUUGAAGUAUGGCCUGCCCACUGAUUUAGUUGAAGGGCCGCGGUAUCUUGACCGUGCAAAGGUAGCAUAAUCAUUAGCUUUUUAAUUGUGAGCUGGUAUGAAUGGUUUGACGAGACACUAGCUGUCUUUGAAUUGGAUUAUAUUGAAUUUGUUGUUUGGGUAAAAAUACCCAAAUUUUUUUGUGGGACGAGAAGACCCUAUAGAGUUUUAUAUAAUGUGUCUUUUGUGGUUUGUUUUGGUUUAUGGAUUAUUUAUAUUUUGUUGGGGUGAUGGGAAGAUAAGAAUAACUCUUCCUUUUUAUUUUCACUGGUUUGUGUUUUUUUGAUCCUUUAUUAUUGAUUAUAAAAUUAAAUUACCUUAG
rnacentral:rRNA from 1 species